AAGCCAGCAGGUCCGGAGAACCGAUCAUGGUGUCCCGGUGGAUCCUCGGUCUAUUCGAACGCGCCGCCGGACCUGCCGCGAUCCAACACCGCCAUGAGCCGCCUCAGCUGCCGAGGAGAAACCUCCAGCAGCUGUGUGGGCCGGCUGUCAGUGACAUUUGCAGAGAUGUUCCGACAAAAGUACAGCAGUGCAGUCACUCUGCAGGGAUGCUGAAGCGGUGUAGCGUCUGUCCAGCAGAUGUCAAACCCUGCUAAGGUUACCAGCUUUGGCCGAUGAGCGGAUCACAGAGUUAAAAAAGGCGACGUCGAGCUUUACCCGAUGCUCUUUGGCGACCUUCAGCAACACCCGCAAAGACUGGUCACC